rnacentral:rRNA from 1 species
AGCGAACGCUGGCGGCAGGCCUAACACAUGCAAGUCGAACGAAGUCUUCGGACUUAGUGGCGGACGGGUGAGUAACACGUGGGAACGUGCCUUUAGGUUCGGAAUAACUCAGGGAAACUUGUGCUAAUACCGAAUGUGCCCUUCGGGGGAAAGAUUUCUCGCCUUUAGAGCGGCCCGCGUUUGAUUAGCUAGUUGGUGAGGUAAAGGCUAACCAAGGCGACGAUCAGUAGGUGGUCUGAGAGGAUGAUCGGCCACAUUGGGACUGAGACACGGCCCAAACUCCUACGGGAGGCAGCAGUGGGGAAUCUUGCGCAAUGGGCGAAAGCCUGACGCAGCCAUGCCGCGUGAAUGAUGAAGGUCUUAGGAUUGUAGAAUUCUUUCACCGGGGACGAUAAUGACGGUACCCGGAGAAGAAGCCCCGGCUAACUUCGUGCCAGCCGCCGCCGUAACAC